rnacentral:rRNA from 1 species
UUUUGGACAAUGGGCGCAGGCCUGAUCCAGCAAUGCCGCGUGAGUGAAGAAGGCCUUCGGGUUGUAAAGCUCUUUUGUCAGGGAAGAAACGGUGAGCUCUAAUACAGUUUGCUAAUGACGGUACCUGAAGAAUAAGCACCGGCUAACUACGUGCCAGCAGCCGCGGUAAUACGUAGGGUGCAAGCGUUAAUCGGAAUUACUGGGCGUAAAGCGUGCGCAGGCGGUUAUGUAAGUCAGAUGUGAAAUCCCCGGGCUCAACCUGGGAAUGGCAUUUGAGACUGCAUGGCUAGAGUGUGUCAGAGGGGGGUAGAAUUCCACGUGUAGCAGUGAAAUGCGUAGAGAUGUGGAGGAAUACCGAUGGCGAAGGCAGCCCCCUGGGAUAACACUGACGCUCAGCACGAA